GACGAACGCUGGCGGCGUGCCUAAUACAUGCAAGUCGAACGCAGUGGGGACGGGUGAGUAACACGUGGGUAACCUCCCAUCAGAGGGGAUAACACUUGGAAACAGGUGCUAAACCGAUACUGAUGGAUGGACCCGCGGUGCAUUAGCUAGUUGGGGAGGUAACGGCUCACAAAGGCCACGAUGCAUAGACGAACUGAGAGGGUGGUCGGCAACACUGGGACUGAGACACGGGCCAGACUCCGACGGGAGGCAGCAGUAGGGAAUCUUCGGCAAUGGACGAAAGUCUGACCGAGCAACGCCGCGGGAGUGAAGAAGGUUAUCGGAUCGGAAAGCUAGGUUGUUAGAGAAGCGGUAUCUAACAAGAAAGCCACGGCUAACUACGUGCCAGCAGCCGAGGUAAUUC
rnacentral:rRNA from 1 species